CCUACGGGUGGCUGCAGUGAGGAAUAUUGGUCAAUGGCCGGGAGGCUGAACCAGCCAAGUCGCGUGAGGGAAGACGGCCCUACGGGUUGUAAACCUCUUUUGUCAGGGAGCAAGGUGCAGGUCGGGACCUUCUGUGAGAGUACCUGAAGAAAAAGCAUCGGCUAACUCCGUGCCAGCAGCCGCGGUAAUACGGAGGAUGCGAGCGUUAUCCGGAUUUAUUGGGUUUAAGGGGUGCGCAGGCGGAGGCACAAGUCAGCGGUAAAAUCGCGGGGCUCAACCCCGCGUCGCCGUUGAAACUGGGUGCCUUGAGUGGGCGAAGGGUAGGCGGAAUGCGUGGUGUAGCGGUGAAAUGCUGAGAUAUCGCGCAGAACUCCGAUCGCGAAGGCAGCCUACCGGCGGGCAACUGACGCUGAGGCACGAAAGCGUGGGUAUCGAACAGGAGUAGAUACCCGAGUAGUC
rnacentral:rRNA from 1 species